AGCAGAUUGAAGCUGCUUCAUCUCAUUCCUGAUUCAAAUUGAUCCCUUCAGUGGCUCGUUCUUACACUAGCAACGUAAAACUGGCCCAAAUGGGUUUAAAGUGGUCAGAACUUGCUCAUGACCAGUUCAAACCUUUUCUCACACGGAAAAAUCAGUUCUGACCAGUUCUAAUCUAUUUUGACCAGUUUAAUGUAAUUCUGCAGAGCUGGAGCCUGAGGUCGGUAAACUCAGGAAGACGGCUGAAGACGAUGCUGAUUUGAGCCAAAGCAAGGAAUCAGAUUCAUAGAGAUCUCUGGAUCCAGAUUCAGUUCCUAUUUCAUCCUGGACCUGUGGCCACUAGAAGCCCUGAGAUGUGCUUCUUAGGUACUCUGGAACUGGCUUACCAGUAUUUAGAAGGGCACAUCAUUGUGAGCCAGAAUGACAGAGGACUCAAAAGAUUCCAGGUGCGUUGUCAUAUUCUGAUGCCCUGAUGUUGGGAUCAAUAGAGGAUGGACAUAGAAAAAAAAUCAAGAAUACAUCAUUUUGAUGAAUCAGCUCCAAAAGUGAUCCAACUUUAGCCUAGCUCACAGAGUCUGCUUGACCCCUGGUGUCAACCUCAAUUGCAGCAACUACAAAAGCCAUCAGAUGACUGAGUUACAUCAUUAGAAAUUUUGUCUUUUUUUUUCUUGUGAUCGACAUCAAGUCUCAUAGCAUUGUGACUGGAAGUGAUGCUUGGUAUGAUCUUAGUCUUUUUGUACUUGUUGAGGCCUGAUUUGUGACCAAGUAUGUGAUCUAUUCCUCAGAAUGUCACAUGCACUCAAAAAGUAUAUGUUGGCCAACUGAAGGUAAUAAUAGAAAGUAUAUUUUGUUGCUUUAAUAUGAAAUGUUCUGAAUGUAUCUUUUAAGUCCAUCUGUUCCAAUGUAUCAUCCAAUACCAUUGUUUCCUUAUUGAUUUUUCUGCUAAAUGAUGGGAUGUUAAAAUCCUCUACUAUUAUUGUGUUAUUAUCAAUGAGUUCCUUUAUGUUUGAUAUUAAUUGUUGAAUAUGUUUAGGUACUCCCAAGCUGGGAGCAUAAAUAUUUACAUUUGUUAGAUCCUCUUAUU